rnacentral:rRNA from 1 species
CCUACGGGAGGCAGCAGUGAGGAAUAUUGGUCAAUGGGCGAGAGCCUGAACCAGCCAAGUCGCGUGAGGGAGUACUGCCCUAUGGGUUGUAAACCUCUUUUGUCGGGGAGCAAAAGCCGGACGUGUCCGGCUGUGAGAGUACCCGAAGAAAAAGCAUCGGCUAACUCCGUGCCAGCCGCCGCGGUAAUACGUAGGGGGCAAGCGUUAUCCGGAUUUAAGGGGGGUAAAGGGGGCGUAGUGGGUGCAGCAAGUCUGAUGUGAAAGGUCGGGGCCCAACCCCGGGACUGCAUUGGAAACUGUUGAACUGGAGUACAGGAGAGGUAAGCGGAAUUCGUAGUGUAGCGGUGAAAUGCGUAGAUAUUAGGAGGAACACCAGUGGCGAAGGCGGCUUACUGGACUGUAACUGACGUUGAGGCUCGAAAGCGUGGGAGCAAACAGGAUUAGAUACCCCGGUAGUC